AUCGAACGCUGGCGGCAUGCCUUACACAUGCAAGUCGAACGGCAGCACGGGAGCAAUCCUGGUGGCGAGUGGCGAACGGGUGAGUAAUAUAUCGGAACGUGCCCAGUCGUGGGGGAUAACGUAGCGAAAGCUACGCUAAUACCGCAUACGAUCUAUGGAUAAAAGCGGGGGAUCGCAAGACCUCGCGCGAUUGGAGCGGCCGAUAUCAGAUUAGGUAGUUGGUGAGGUAAAGGCUCACCAAGCUGACGAUCUGUAGCUGGUCUGAGAGGGCGACCAGCCACACUGGAACUGAGACACGGUCCAGACUCCUACGGGAGGCAGCAGUGGGGAAUUUUGGACAAUGGGCGCAAGCCUGAUCCAGCAAUGCCGCGUGCAGGAUGAAGGCCUUCGGGUUGUAAACUGCUUUUGUACGGAACCAAACGGUGAGCUCUAAUACAGUUUGCUAAUGACGGUACCGUAAGAAUAAGCACCGGCUAACUACGUGCCAGCCGCCGCGGUAA
rnacentral:rRNA from 1 species